UGGGGAAUCUUAGACAAUGGGGGAAACCCUGAUCUAGCCAUGCCGCGUGAGCGAUGAAGGCCUUAGGGUUGUAAAGCUCUUUCAGCUGGGAAGAUAAUGACGGUACCAGCAGAAGAAGCCCCGGCUAACUCCGUGCCAGCAGCCGCGGUAAUACGGAGGGGGCUAGCGUUGUUCGGAAUUACUGGGCGUAAAGCGCACGUAGGCGGAUUAGUCAGUCAGAGGUGAAAUCCCAGGGCUCAACCCUGGAACUGCCUUUGAUACUGCUAGUCUUGAGGUCGAGAGAGGUGAGUGGAAUUCCGAGUGUAGAGGUGAAAUUCGUAGAUAUUCGGAGGAACACCAGUGGCGAAGGCGGCUCACUGGCUCGAUACUGACGCUGAGGUGCGAAAGCGUGGGGAGCAAAACAGGAUUAGAUACCCUGGUAGUCCACGCCGUAAACGAUGAAUGCCAGUCGUCGGGUUGCAUGCAAUUCGGUGACACACCUAACGGAUUAAAGCAUUCCGCCUGGGGAGUACGGUCGCAAGAUUAAAACUUAAAGGAAUUGACGGGGUCAUAGCUGUUUCCUG
rnacentral:rRNA from 1 species